GAUGAAGAACGUAGCGAAAUGCGAUACUUGGUGUGAAUUGCAGAAUCCCGUGAACCAUCGAGUCUUUGAACGCAAGUUGCGCCCGAAGCCAUCAGGUUGAGGGCACGUCUGCCUGGGCGUCACAUAUCGUUGCCCAAUGCCUAUUGCAGUGCAUUAGGAAUUUCUAGGGCGAAUGAUGGCUUCCCGUGAGCGUUGUUGCCUCGCGGUUGGUUGAAAAUCGAGUCCUUGGUAGGGUGUGCCAUGGUAGAUGGUGGUCGAGUUAGAACGAUACCGAUCAUGUGCAUGCUCCCCAAAAUAUGGCCUCUAUGACCCACACGCGUCUUUUGACGCUCAUGACGAGACCUCAGGUCAGGCGGGGCUACCCGCUGAAUUUAAGCAUAUCAAUAAGCGGAGGA
rnacentral:misc_RNA from 1 species